GAUGGAGAACGUAGCGAAAUGCGAUAAGUAAUGUGAAUUGCAGAAUUCAGUGAAUCAUCGAAUCUUUGAACGCACCUUGCGCCCUUUGGCCAUUCCGAAGGGCAUGCCUGUUUGAGUAUCAUGAACACCUCAACUCUUUAUGGUUUUCCAUGAUGAGCUUGGACUUUGGGGGUUUUGCUGGCCUAUGGUCGGCUCCUCUAAAAUAAAUCAGCUUACCAGUGUUUGGUGGGUAUCAUGGGUGUGAUAACUAUCUACGCUUGUGGUUUUUCCGCCAGGUAACCUUCGACAGCGGAGGUUCACUGGAGCUCAUAGAUGUCUCUCCUCAGCGAGGACAGCCCUUUGAAUGUUUGAUCUCAAAUCAGGUAGGACUACCCGCUGAACUUAAGCAUAUCAAUAAGCGGAGGA
rnacentral:misc_RNA from 1 species